rnacentral:tRNA from 2 species
AGGUAGCUCAAUGGUGGAGCACUCGGCUGUUAACCGAUAGGCUGUGGGUUCGAGCCCCACCCU